rnacentral:rRNA from 1 species
AUAUUGCUUGUUGCGGUUAAAAAGCUCGUAGUUGGAUUUCGGCGGGCAGGGGGUGGUUCGCUCUUCAGCGCUACUGCCCCGCUUUGCCCGUGUGAUUGGCGGAGGUUUCGGGGUGCUCUUCGUUGAGUGACUCGGAGCGCCGUCAGGUUUACUUUGAAAAAAUUAGAGUGCUCAAAGCAGGCUUUUCACGCUUGAAUAUUCGUGCAUGGAAUAAUGGAAUAGGAACUCGUUUCUAUUUUGUUGGUUUUCGGAAAUCGAGUUAAUGAUUAACAGGGACAAUUGGGGGCAUUAGUAUUCAGACGACAGAGGUGAAAUUCUUGGACCGUCUGAAGACUGACUACUGCGAAAGCAUUUGCCAAGAGUGUUUUCAUUAAUCAAGAACGAAAGUUAGAGGUUCGAAGGCGAUCAGAUACCGCCCUAGUUCUAACCAUAAACGAUGCCAGCUAGCGAUCUGCCGAGUUUUUUUUGUAGGCUCCGCAGGAAGCUUUCGGGAAACCAAAGCUUUUGGGUUCCGGGGGAAGUAUGGUUGCAAAGCUGAAACAUAAAAGGAAUUGACGGAAGGGCACCACAAGGAGUGGAGCCUGCGGCUUAAUUUGACUCCGGACCUGGGGAGGAU